rnacentral:rRNA from 1 species
GAGUUUGAUCGUGGCUCAGAGCGAACGCUGGCGGAAUGCUUUACACAUGCAAGUCGAGCGGCAGCGCGGGGCAACCUGGCGGCGAGCGGCGAACGGGUGAGUAAUACAUCGGAACGUGCCCAGUCGUGGGGGAUAACGUAGCGAAAGCUACGCUAAUACCGCAUACGAUCUCUGGAUGAAAGCGGGGGACCGCAAAGGCCUCGCGCGAUUGGAGCGGCCGAUGGCAGAUUAGGUAGUUGGUGGGGUAAAGGCUCACCAAGCCGACGAUCUGUAGCUGGUCUGAGAGGAUGACCAGCCACAUUGGGACUGAGACACGGCCCAAACUCCUACGGGAGGCAGCAGUGGGAAUCUUGCGCAAUGGGCGAAAGCCUGACGCAGCCAUGCCGCGUGAAUGAUG